AGCCUCGGCUUGCAAAGCCGAAGGUCCCAGGUUCGAUUCCCGGUUGGGUCC
rnacentral:tRNA from 1 species